UCUCUCUCCUCUAUCCUUCCUUUAGGACAGAGGAAGGCCCAGCCGUGGCUCAGAGCUGAGUCACGCUGUGGCCACCUCUCCAGUAAAGCCUGAGGAAUGUCAAGUCACCGGAAGACCUCAGUCAUCAGGGAUUUCCGGUUCACCUCAGGCAACAGGAUGUCUUCUACAUUUCUUUACCCUGAACUCUUCAGAAAUUAAAUUUCAUUAAGUGAAAUCAUUCCUUUUCUAAAAUAAGAACUCACUCUGACUUGGACAAAGAAAACUUUUAUAUGUAAGGAGGCAACUGAACAGCUCAGCUUCAAGAUUCCACCCCACCCACAGGCUCAACUGUAGUAUGGUGCACAUGACUUCCAGCUCUCCUGGGUCCAGAAAUCUGUACGUGUUUCACCUCCCAAGCCUGCCUUGAGUGUCUUGAUUGUCCUUCAUUCCCGAGGCUUUCCUCGACGUCUGGUCUCCACUCUCCAUUUAAACAUAAUGUUUUGACUCUACUUGCUUCCCACAGCCUCGUCUGGGACCUGGGUAUCAAUCCCUCUUUGUUCUUCAGCUAAGGCUUUUUUCCCUUCCCCUCUCUCCCACUUGGUCUCAGCUCCUGCAACUUCAGCCCUGUCUACCACAUUCUUAGCAAAAGAGAUCAGUAACAAGAAGCAGACAAAAAAAGUCAAGAGUAAUAGAAAUUAUUUUUGUGUUUGAUUUCAGGAAAUCAAUCUCAUUGUUUCUUAUUCUUCCCUGAUGACAGUUAUGUAUGUGCUGGGUGAUUAGUAGGUUACCUCUUAAAGGUGUUGUCGUCUAUCCAGAUGAACUUCCU